UACGUAGGUGGCAAGCGUUAUCCGGAAUUAUUGGGCGUAAAGAGCGCGCAGGUGGUUAAUUAAGUCUGAUGUGAAAGCCCACGGCUUAACCGUGGAGGGUCAUUGGAAACUGGUUGACUUGAGUGCAGAAGAGGGAAGUGGAAUUCCAUGUGUAGCGGUGAAAUGCGUAGAGAUAUGGAGGAACACCAGUGGCGAAGGCGGCUUCCUGGUCUGCAACUGACACUGAGGCGCGAAAGCGCGGGGAGCAAACAGG
rnacentral:rRNA from 1 species